GCGGCGUGCUUAACACAUGCAAGUCGAACGGUGAAGCAGAGCUUGCUCUGUGGAUCAGUGGCGAACGGGUGAGUAACACGUGAGCAAUCUGCCCCUGACUCUGGGAUAAGCGCUGGAAACGGCGUCUAAUACCGGAUACGAGCUGCGAAGGCAUCUUCAGCAGCUGGAAAGAAUUUCGGUCAGGGAUGAGCUCGCGGCCUAUCAGCUUGUUGGUGAGGUAACGGCUCACCAAGCCGUCGACGGGUAGCCGGCCUGAGAGGGUGACCGGCCACACUGGGACUGAGACACGGCCCAGACUCCUACGGGAGGCAGCAGUGGGGAAUAUUGCACAAUGGGCGAAAGCCUGAUGCAGCAACGCCGCGUGAGGGACGACGGCCUUCGGGUUGUAAACCUCUUUUAGCAGGAAAGAAGCGAAAGUGACGGUACCUGCAGAAAAAGCGCCGGCUAACUACGUGCCAGCAGCCGCGGUAAUACGUAGGGCGCAAGCGUUAUCCGGAAUUAUUGGGCGUAAAGAGCUCGUAGGCGGUCUGUCGCGUCUGCUGUGAAAACCCGAGGCUCAACCUCGGGCCUGCAGUGGGUACGGGCAGACUAGAGUGCGGUAGGGGAGAUUGGAAUUCCUGGUGUAGCGGUGGAAUGCGCAGAUAUCAGGAGGAACACCGAUGGCGAAGGCAGAUCUCUGGGCCGUAACUGACGCUGAGGAGCGAAAGGGUGGGGAGCAAACAGGCUUAGAUACCCUGGUAGUCCACCCCGUAAACGUUGGGAACUAGUUGUGGGGUCCAUUCCACGGAUUCCGUGACGCAGCUAACGCAUUAAGUUCCCCGCCUGGGGAGUACGGCCGCAAGGCUAAAACUCAAAGGAAUUGACGGGGACCCGCACAAGCGGCGGAGCAUGCGGAUUAAUUCGAUGCAACGCGAAGAACCUUACCAAGGCUUGACAUAUACGAGAACGGGCCAGAAAUGGUCAACUCUU
rnacentral:rRNA from 1 species